rnacentral:rRNA from 1 species
AACGAACGCUGGCGGCAUGCCUAACACAUGCAAGUCGAACGAGACCUUCGGGUUUAGUGGCGCACGGGUGCGUAACGCGUGGGAACCUGCCCUUAGGUUCGGAAUAACUCCCCGAAAGGGGUGCUAAUACCGGAUAAUGUCUUCGGACCAAAGAUUUAUCGCCUUUGGAUGGGCCCGCGUUGGAUUAGCUAGUUGGUAGGGUAAAAGCCUACCAAGGCGACGAUCCAUAGCUGGUCUGAGAGGAUGAUCAGCCACACUGGGACUGAGACACGGCCCAGACUCCUACGGGAGGCAGCAGUGGGGAAUAUUGUACAAUGGGCGAAAGCCUGAUCCAGCAAUGCCGCGUGAGUGAUGAAGGCCUUAGGGUUGUAAAGCUCUUUUACCCGGGAUGAUAAUGACGGUACCGGGAGAAUAAGCUCCGGCUAACUCCGUG